AGCGAACGCUGGCGGCAGGCCUAACACAUGCAAGUCGAGCGCCCCGCAAGGGGAGCGGCAGACGGGAGAGUAACACGUGGGAACAUGCCCUUCAGCUCGGAACAACCCAGGGAAACUUGGGCUAAUACCGGAUACGUCCGUAAGGAGAAAGAUUUAUCGCUGAAGGAUUGGCCCGCGUCCGAUUAGCUAGUUGGUGAGGUAAUGGCUCACCAAGGCGACGAUCGGUAGCUGGUCUGAGAGGAUGAUCAGCCUCACUGGGACUGAGACACGGCCCAGACUCCUACGGGAGGCAGCAGUGGGGAAUAUUGGACAAUGGGCGCAAGCCUGAUCCAGCCAUGCCGCGUGGGUGAUGAAGGCCCUAGGGUUGUAAAGCCCUUUCGGCGGGGAAGAUAAUGACGGUACCCGCAGAAGAAGCCCCGGCUAACUUCGUGCCAGCCGCCGCGGUAAAAC
rnacentral:rRNA from 1 species